rnacentral:rRNA from 1 species
CCUACGGGAGGCAGCAGUGGGGAAUUUUGGACAAUGGGGGCAACCCUGAUCCAGCCAUGCCGCGUGCGGGAAGAAGGCCUUCGGGUUGUAAACCGCUUUUGUCGGGGAAGAAAUCUUCUGAGCUAACACCUCGGGAGGAUGACGGUACUCGAAGAAUAAGCACCGGCUAACUACGUGCCAGCAGCCGCGGUAAUACGUAGGGUGCAAGCGUUAAUCGGAAUUACUGGGCGUAAAGCGUGCGCAGGCGGUCUUGCAAGACAGAUGUGAAAUCCCCGGGCUCAACCUGGGAACUGCAUUUGUGACUGCAAGGCUGGAGUGCGGCAGAGGGGGAUGGAAUUCCGCGUGUAGCAGUGAAAUGCGUAGAUAUGCGGAGGAACACCGAUGGCGAAGGCAAUCCCCUGGGCCUGCACUGACGCUCAUGCACGAAAGCGUGGGGAGCAAACAGGAUUAGAUACCCUGGUAGUC